GGUGAUUUGCUGGUCUGUGGAGAGUCUGAUGCGCUGAGUUUCUUAUUCAGCCCAAAGGGAGACAAUUCUAGGUGUAACUGGACCCCCAAGCUCACCCGUGAAUACCUCUGUGAUGAGCACAGCAAACCGUGAUGGAAAUGAUAUUUUGCUUACAUGUCCUAACUUUCCCGGUCUACUGUGGAGUCUUCCUAAAUCCAUUGUCCUGCCCCAGCAAGUUGGCCCAUCUAAGAGAAAAUUCUGAAAAUACUACAAGAAAAAAUAUAAGCAGUACUUGUAAGCAAGGAAGUGCCAAAAGACCAUGGAUUGAAGA